rfam:Parcubacteria bacterium GW2011_GWA2_47_64 TY03_C0001, whole genome shotgun sequence.
GCCGAGGUGGCGGAAUUGGCAGACGCACGGGACUCAAAAUCCCGCGAUGGCAACAUCAUGAGGGUUCGAUGCCCUCCCUCGGCA